rnacentral:rRNA from 1 species
UACGUAGGGUGCAAGCGUUAAUCGGAAUUACUGGGCGUAAAGCGUACGUAGGCGGUUACUCAAGUCAGAGGUGAAAGCCCGGGGCUCAACCCCGGAACUGCCUUUGAAACUAGGUAGCUAGAAUCUUGGAGAGGUCAGUGGAAUUCCGAGUGUAGAGGUGAAAUUCGUAGAUAUUCGGAAGAACACCAGUGGCGAAGGCGACUGACUGGACAAGCAUUGACGCUGAGGUACGAAAGCGUGGGGAGCAAACAGG